UACGUAGGGUGCGAGCGUUAAUCGGAAUUACUGGGCGUAAAGCGUGCGCAGGCGGUUUUGUAAGCCAGGUGUGAAAUCCCCGGGCUCAACCUGGGAAUGGCAUUUGGGACUGCAAGGCUGGAGUGCGGCAGAGGAGACUGGAAUUCCUGGCGUAGCAGUGAAAUGCGUAGAUAUCAGGAGGAACACCGAUGGCGAAGGCGGGUCUCUGGGCCGAUACUGACGCUGAGGAGCGAAAGCGUGGUGAGCGAACAGG
rnacentral:rRNA from 1 species